CAAGUCGAGCGGAACGAGUUAUCUGAACCUUCGGGGAACGAUAACGGCGUCGAGCGGCGGACGGGUGAGUAAUGCCUAGGAAAUUGCCCUGAUGUGGGGGAUAACCAUUGGAAACGAUGGCUAAUACCGCAUGAUGCCUACGGGCCAAAGAGGGGGACCUUCGGGCCUCUCGCGUCAGGAUAUGCCUAGGUGGGAUUAGCUAGUUGGUGAGGUAAGGGCUCACCAAGGCGACGAUCCCUAGCUGGUCUGAGAGGAUGAUCAGCCACACUGGAACUGAGACACGGUCCAGACUCCUACGGGAGGCAGCAGUGGGGAAUAUUGCACAAUGGGCGCAAGCCUGAUGCAGCCAUGCCGCGUGUAUGAAGAAGGCCUUCGGGUUGUAAAGUACUUUCAGUCGUGAGGAAGGUGGUAGUGUUAAUAGCACUAUCAUUUGACGUUAGCGACAGAAGAAGCACCGGCUAACUCCGUGCCAGC
rnacentral:rRNA from 1 species